rnacentral:rRNA from 1 species
UACAGAGGUCUCAAGCGUUGUUCGGAUUCAUUGGGCGUAAAGGGUGCGUAGGCGGCGCGGUAAGUCGGGUGUGAAAUCUCGGAGCUUAACUCCGAAACUGCAUUCGAUACUGCCGCGCUUGAGGACUGGAGAGGAGACUGGAAUUUACGGUGUAGCGGUGAAAUGCGUAGAUAUCGUAAGGAAGACCAGUGGCGAAGGCGGGUCUCUGGACAGUUCCUGACGCUGAGGAGCGAAAACGUGGGGAGCGAACAGG